rnacentral:rRNA from 1 species
CGGACGGGUGAGUAAUGUCUGGGAAACUGCCUGAUGGAGGGGGAUAACUACUGGAAACGGUAGCUAAUACCGCAUAACGUCGCAAGACCAAAGAGGGGGACCUUCGGGCCUCUUGCCAUCAGAUGUGCUCAGAUGGGAUUAGCUAGUAGGUGGGGUAACGGCUCACCUAGGCGACGAUCCCUAGCUGGUCUGAGAGGAUGACCAGCCACACUGGAACUGAGACACGGUCCAG